GACCUGGUGGUGAAGGGCAUCACAUCCGCACUCAGUGAAUAAAUAAUGAAUCGGAUGAGCAUUUCUGCGGAAGUCCCUGGUUCGAAUCCAGGCUAGGUCG